rnacentral:tRNA from 1 species
GCCUGGGUGGCUUGGUCGGUUAAGCGUCUGACUUCGGCUCAGGUCAUGAUCUCGCGGUCCGUGAGUUCGAGCCCCACGCCGGGCU